rnacentral:lncRNA from 1 species
AUUAGAAUCUGUUGAGCGAGAAAGAAUACAAAGAAGAGGGUAAACCAAGGAAAAAGGGAAGAAAAGAAAAAGAAAUGAAGGAAAAGGAAGAAGAAAGAAGAAAUCUUGUGCCAACUACUUCAAUCUUGUUUAUUUAAUUCUUCAAGAGGUAAGGUUAAGAAUUUAUGGUUUAGUUUUUGUAAAUUUUUGUUUAUGAUUUUAAAUUUAUAGCUUAUACUUGAAAAAUAUGAUAAGGAAGCUAACUAUUUGAGUAUUUUGAGCUAAUUAUUCUAGUGGAUUGAAAGAAAUGAUGUUUAGAUAUUAGGGCUUUGUUAUAUGUGGGUUAAUCCAAAAAUUUGGGGAAAAAUUAGCAUUCUUGUUAUUUUCCCUUGUGAUUGUUGUAUGGUAUUAAGUUAAUUGGUUGAAAAUAACUUAUCUUGUGCUUGAGUUCUCAGGUUAGAUGAAUAUGGAGAAUAUAAGAAAGGAGCUUUUGAUAAGAUUUAUGUAUUUAGUUAAAAGAGAAUUUAAAUAAGGAAUGUGGAUGAUUAUUAUUAUGAAAAGCUUGUUGAAUCUUGACGGGGCAACCGAAAAAAGGUUAGUAUUAACGAGUUAGGGAUGUAGAGUGAUUCAAAAUUAAGUGAAUGUAUAUUUAAGUAACCAAAUGAAAUAUAAAUAUUAAGUCUCAACUUAUUGCUUAUUGAGGGAUAUAUAUUUUAUUUUGAUGAUAAGAAGGAGUUAUUAUUGAGAAAUCCCUUGUAACUGUAUAUUGUUGGAAUUGAAGUGGCUUAUAUGUAUGAUUGUUUCAGGAGGGGAUUUGGACGUGGAAACAACAUACCAGCCCCAUUAGUCCAGCCUAUAUCUACGAGUGGAGAAUCUAUGUUUUCAAAAAGAUGAUUUUCUUUUUAUUUUAUAGAAGCAUGUUAAUUACAUGAAAUGCUUUAUUCUCAAGAAUUAGUAAAUGAUAUUGAUUGUUUUGAAAUUAUCAUAAAAUAAUUGAUGUGAUUAUCUUACUCUAGUGUACUAAGGGGCUACGAUCGUGUACUAGAGUUAUGUAUUUAACUCCUAUACACUGAGGGGCUACAACCAUGUUUAAGGGUAAGUCUUAUCCACUGAGGGGCUACGGCCGUGGGUAAACGUAUCCAUUAUAUACUGAGGGACUACAACCGUGUAUAAAGAUGAUUAUGUUAUUUCCACCUUGUACACUGAGGGGCUACGGUCGUGUACAAAGUAUUGAUCAGACGGUUUAUGUACAUAUGAUUUAUAGCUUUCAGAUCAUUAGUAGAUGUUUACAUGGG